rnacentral:lncRNA from 1 species
GUGAGACUGGGAUUAGUUUUCUCAUUUUGACAUUGAGGAAACAGGAUGAGAGAAGUUAGGAAGUUUACUUUAGGUCAGUCAGGGAAUAAGUAGAAAAAUCACAGACUCAAAACAUGUUGCGCUGACUAUAUUGGCAGGAGGGGUCCAGGGAUGUGCGAAAUCAGUGCAGGCAGCAGGCAUCAGAGAAGCUUCCUGGAGAACUGCGAACAAACCUCUUUUCUCCUUUUCACUAUUUCACAGCCUGUAGAGAAACCGUGAUCUGGUGUCCGGAAGGCAUCCAUCCUUCAAAUUACUUGAACAAUUACAGACAUGUGUGGAAAUUUAUUUUUGAUCUGUUUCUCAACCAUGCUCAUACAGUGAAAAAAAAAUGAUUUCUACAGACGUUAAGAGCUAUCUUGAAGCUUAAUGGACAAAUGUUCAUCUAUUCCAUGUGGGUAAUUCUUUCUAGACUGGUCAUGGAAUGACCAGCUUUGUGCUGGAAUGUGUGUUAAACUUAACAUGGUAUGCUGAUUUCAAAACAACUGUCAGAUUUUUCUUUUGUUUAGAGAUAUACUUCAUGGAAAUGUUGCCGUUAGCUUGAAAUUCUCACUCAGGUCUCUUAAAAAAGCCUGCCCAUAAACUUAAAAAAUCCUAACCCACCUCAGGUGUCACUAAAUAAAAAUACAUUUGUCACAUUUACCUAUGUGUGU